GCCUACGGGACGCAGCAGUGGGGAAUAUUGCACAAUGGGGGAAACCCUGAUGCAGCAACGCCGCGUGAAGGAAGACGGUUUUCGGAUUGUAAACUUCUGUUCUUAGUGAAGAAGAAUGACGGUAGCUAAGGAGCAAGCCACGGCUAACUACGUGCCAGCAGCCGCGGUAAUACGUAGGUGGCAAGCGUUGUCCGGAAUUACUGGGUGUAAAGGGAGCGUAGACGGCUGCGCAAGUCAGAAGUGAAAGCCCGGGGCUCAACCGCGGGACUGCUUUUGAAACUGUGUAGCUAGAGUGCAGGAGAGGG
rnacentral:rRNA from 1 species